AUAAACAAGCAGGGCGGAGCACGCUCCUCCCUCCUUUGUCAAGAAGCCGUCCACCUCUGGGACUUUUGCAUAGCCCACUCGAUCGAUUUGGUAGCAUCUUUUCUCCCAGGAGUCCAGAACACUCUGGCGGAUCACCUCAGCAGAUCCUUCCUGUCUCACGAGUGGUCGAUUUUGUCUGGACAUCAUCCAUUCUGUUUUCUGGAAAUGGGGGUUUCCCCACAUAGACCUCUUUGCCACCCGAGAGAACAAGAAAUGCCAGGUAUUCUGCUCCUUCCAGGGACGCUCCCUGGGCUCCCUCUCAGACACGUUCCAGAUCCCAUGGAAGAGGCACCUACUCUAUGCCUUCCCACCGUUUCUGCUCGUCCACAGAGUCUGUCUUAAGCUCCGCAGGGACAGCGCCCACCUGAUCCUGAUUGCUCCUGCGUGGCCGAGGCAGCACUGGUACACUAUGUUGUUCGACCUCUCAGUGGCAGACCCAAUGCCCCUGCCACUCUGGCCGGAUCUCAUAACACAGAACUUCGGCAGGCUUCACCAUCUAAACCUGCAGUCUCUUCACCUCAGAGCAUGGUUACAGCGUGAUUGAGCCAGUCUGAGUUGCCUUGCUCUGCCUCUGUCCAACAGGUGCUCUUGGGCAGUAGGAAGCCUUCCACUAGGAUGACAUAUCUGGCCAAAUGGAAGCUUUUCUCUUGCUGGUGCGCUCAGUGUAACUCAGUCCCCAGGCUGGUGUCCGUUCCUGCUGUCCUGGACUACCUCUGGUCCCUGAAAGAACAGGGCCUAUAGGUCUCUUCCAUAAAGGUGCAUCUGGCAGCCAUCUCCACCUUCCACCUGGGGGAAAAUGGCUGAUCAGUCUUCUCUCACCCCAUAGUUUCAAGGUUCCUCAAGGGAUUGGAACGUUUGUACCCUCAAGUCAGACUCCCGACCCCUACCUGGGAUGUCAACCUGGUGCUAGCCAAGCUUAUGGGUGCUCCUUUCGAACCACUGGCCACCUGCUCGCUGCUGUACCUUUUCUGGAAGACCAGCCUUCCUUGUUGCUAUUACUUCGGCAAGACAAGUAUCUGAGCUUCGGGCCUUGACAGCGGAUCCUCCCCCCCCCCCCCCCGUAUACGGUAUUCCAUAAGGACAAGGUACAGCUGCGACCACACCCCUCCUUCCUCCCUAAGGUGGUGUCCACCUUUCAUCAGUUACAGAUGUCAAUCAAGACAUCUUCCUCGCAGUCUUUUUCCUGAAGCCACACCCAUCGUGUCGAGAACAACAGCUGCAAACCCUAGACGUUCACAGGGCUCUCGCCUUUUUAUAUUGAGAGAACAAAACCCUUCCGAAGGUCACCUCAGCUCUGUGGCAGACCGGAUGAAAGGCCUACCGGUCUCAUUCCAACGACUUUCAUCUUGGGUAACAUCCUGUAUCCGUACAUGCUAUGAUUUGGCUCAUAUUCCGGCUAGCCACCUCACCGCCCAUUCUACUGGGGCUGAAGCUUCAUCUGCCACCUUCAUGGCCCAUGUUCCCAUCCAGGAAAUAUGUCAGGCAGCUACCUGGUCAUUGAUUCACACCUUUGCCUCACAUUACGCAUUGGUUCAACAGUCCAGAGAUGAUGCAGCAUUUGGCUCAGCAGUUUUGCAUUCUGCAGCAUCUCACUCCAACCCCAGCGCCUAGAUAAGGCUUGGGAAUCAACUAAUUGGAAUUGAUAUGAGCAAGCACUCCAAGAAGAAAAAAUGGUUACUCACCUUUGUAACUGUUGUUCUUCGAGAUGUGUUGCUCAUGUCCAUUCCAAACCCGCCCUCCUUCCCCUCUGUCAGAGUAACCGGCAAGAAAGAACUGAAGGGCCGUUGGGUCGUCAGGGAUAUAUAUCCGGCACCAUAACAGCGCCACUCCAGGGGGCGACCCAGCCGACCCACCAAGUGUUGCUAAGGUAAAAAUCUUCCGAUGAACGUGCACACGGCACGCACACACCUAAUUGGAAUGGAUAUGAGCAACACAUCUUGAAGAACAACAGUUACAAAGGUGGUGUCCCUCAGUUUCCCAGCUGCUCCAUAGAGGUGGGGGAAAGAAUACUUGUGUUCCUCUGUCCACUUCCCCACAGAGCCUCUCCGGGCUCUUGAUAUCAGAGAGAACAUGUGAUGUUUGAAGCAAUAUUGUAGUUUGGACUUAUCCACUCCACAGGACACAGGGAAACUGCAGAGGGCAAAGGCCUCAGUCUGCAAAAGGGAAGAAAUGUGGAAAAUCAAUCAAGGACCCCAAAUUGGUUUGAUCUCUGGUUGAAAUGAUUAAAAAGGAUGAGAACAUGGAUACUCACCAGGACCCCUGCUCUUAAAAAAUGAAUCCAGCCCCGUGUCUAGAGGAGGAGUCGGCAACCUUUCAGAAGUGGUGUGCCGAGUCUUCAUUUAUUCACUCUAAUUUAAGGUUUCGCGUGCCAGUAAUAUGUUUAAACCUUUUUAGGAGGUCUCUUUCUAUGAGUCUGUAAUGUAUAACUAAACUAUUUUGUAUGUAAAGUAAAUAAGGUUUUUAAAAUG